rnacentral:rRNA from 1 species
GACGAACGCUGGCGGCGUGCUUAACACAUGCAAGUAGAACGAAGUGGCGAACGGGUGAGUAAUACGUGAGUAACCUGCCCUCCUUUUUGGAUAAGCCUUGGAAACGGAGUCUAAUACCGAAUAAAGGGGGAUGGGCUCUCGUCCUAUCAGCUUGUUGGUGGGGUGAUGGCCUACCAAGGCGGUGACGGGUAGCCGGCCUGAGGGGGUGACCGGCCAGAUUGGGAUUGGGAUACGGGACAUUGUGCUACGCUGGGCAGGAUGGGGGGAUAGUGGAUGAUGGGCGAAAGCCUGAUGCAGCGGCGGGGCGUGGGGGAAGAAAGCUUUCGGGUUGUAAACGUCUUUCGGUAUCGAACGGUUCGGUUUAGAAGAAGCGCCGGCUAACUACGUGCCAGCAGCCGCGGUAAUUC